AAAAAGUAACCCCUGGUGAAUGGGGUAGAGACCCCGGUGAAUGGGGUAGAGACCCCGAUGCAAGGGGUAGAUCUCAGGAAUGAAAAAAAAAAUAUGUAAAAUAAAUGAAAAAUGACAUCAACAACAACAAAAAUGCUCUCUCAAUUAUUAUAAAUUUCACUCCAUACCAUACUUGAGUUGUCAAGGAGUACAAUGUAGUUUGAUGCUGUAAUGAAUAUUGUGAUUCCCCUGUGAUUUAUGAGGAGGAAGGAAAAAGAGGAGGUAGGUAAACCACAGAGCUCCCUCCCCCGUGAUUGGGGAGGAGGGAGGUAAACCACAGAGCUCCCCCCGUGAUUGGGGAGGAGGGAGGUAAACCACAGAGCUCCCCCCCGUGAUUGGGAGGAGGGAGGUCAGAGCUCCCCCCGUGAUUGGGGAGGAGGGAGGUCAGAGCUCCCCCCGUGAUUGGGGAGGAGGGAGGUCAGAGCUCCCCCCCGUGAUUGGGGAGGAGGCAGGUAAACCCUGUGAUUGGGGAGGAGGGAGGUAAACCACGGAACUCCCCCCGUAAUUGGGGAGGAGAGAGGUGGAUAGGGGAAAAGAGAGAGACCCCUGGCUAUAAGACCCCGAUGAGUGGGGUAGAGACCCCGGUGCAGGGGGUAGAUCUCAGGAAUGAAAAACAAUAUGUAAAAUAAAUGACGAAAUGAAAAAUGACAUCAACAAAAAUGGUGUUUCUUUCAAUUCUUCUCAAUAAAAUUUCACUCCAUACCAUAUUUUCUAUCUAAUCCAGUUUUGUUUCUUUCAGGAGACCAGUCAUUUGAAGAACAUCACAUUGGAUUUGUCACAUAUCCCAUACGUUAUUCUUCAUUCCUUGAUAUAUGUUUUAUUUUUGUAAUGCCAUCAAUGGUAUUGUUAUAUUUUCCUUCCAUUUUCCUUGUUAUUGUCACAUUCUAACUAAAAAGAAAGUUCCAUGUAAUCCCUUGUUUAGUAGAUGUUCAUUAUUGUAAUACUGUCUGUAAUAAAUCAAUUUUUUCCUUUGUUUCAAGGGUCAAGCAGUUACAUGGUUGGAAGAUCCUGCACAGAGCAUACAGCAGAUGGGACCUCUCCUAGGGAAGGAAGCAGAACUUGGUCCAGGAGAAACAGACCGGGGAGGAACCAGCCAUCAGCAGAAGGAUACAGCACAUAGUAUAUGUAUGGUAUAUAAUUUUGUAAAUAAUUGUAUAUACAAGUCAUGUAAAGCUUCUCAAAUAUCAAUAAUAUAUGUAGUGGCAUAGAAAAUGUAAGGUAUACAGGUAUAAUUAUGCCAACCAUGUGUAGAUUAUUCAAUAUGAAUGUAGUAGUUUCUUAGUGUAUACAAGUCGUGUAUAGCAUAUUCAACAUCUGAUAUUUGUAGUGGCAUAGUACAUGUAUGAUAUAAAAAUCAUGUCAAUCAUAUGUUGAUUAUUUCAUGUAUGAAUGUAGUGUUUUAGAGUAUAUGCAAGUCAUGUACAUCUUAUUCAAUAUUUAUGUGUCAUAGUGUAUUUGAUUAAUGUAUAGUUCAAUAUGUAUAGUUUAUAUAUGUAUAGUUUUAUAGUUAAUCAAUAUAUAGUCAUGUAUAGUUUCCUUUUCUUUGCAAUUAUACCUUCAAAAUGUAUCAAAUCUCAUCAUUGUAAGUACCUGUAAUAGGAUUGUGAGAUAAGAGUGGUGAUGUGAAAUUUUGUAAGUAAAACUGUCGAGACUCAAA